rnacentral:rRNA from 1 species
CUAGAAAGAUUCUGGUUGAUCCUGCCAGAGGCUACUGCUAUCGGGGUCCGACUAAGCCAUGCGAGUUGAGAGGGGUAAGCCCUCGGCAUAUUGCUCAGUAACACGCGGAUAACCUGCCCUUGGGUUUGGGAUAACCCCGGGAAACUGGGACUAAUACCGGAUAGAUCAAAGAUACUGGAAUGUUCUUUGUUCGAAAGCUCCGGCGCCCAAGGAUGGGUCUGCGGCCUAUCAGGUAGUAGUGGGUGUAACGUGCCUACUAGCCUACGACGGGUAAGGGUUGUGAGAGCAAGAGCCCUGAGAUGGAUUCUGAGACAUGAAUCCAGGCCCUACGGGGCGCAGCAGGCGCGAAAACUUUACACUGCGGGAAACCGCGAUAAGGGGACCCCGAGUGCCAGCACCUAGUGCUGGCUGUCCAGCUGUUCAAAAAACAGUUGUUAGCAAGGGCCGGGCAAGACCGGUGCCAGCCGCCGCGGUAACACCGGCGGCCCGAGUGGUAGCCGUUAUUAUUGGGUUUAAAGGGUCCGUAGCCGGCCUAUUAAGUCUCUUGGGAAAUCUGGCGACUCAAUCGUCAGGCGUUCAAGAGAUACUGGUAUGCUUGGGACCGGGAGAGGUGGGAGGUACUCCAGGGGUAGGGGUGAAAUCUCGUAAUCCUUGGGGGACCACCGAUGGCGAAGGCAUCCCACCAGAACGGGUCCGACGGUGAGGGACGAAAGCUGGGGGCACGAACCGGAUUAGAUACCCGGGUAGUCCCAGCUGUAAACGAUGCUCGCUAGGUGUCAGGUGCGGUGCGACCGCAUCUGGUGCCGUAGUGAAAACUUGAAGCGAGUCACCUGGGAAGUACGGUCGCAAGGCUGAAACUUAAAGGAAUUGGCGGGGGAGCACUACAACGGGUGGAGCCUGCGGUUCAA